GACGAACGCUGGCGGCGUGCUUAACACAUGCAAGUCGAGCGACGCUCUUCCUUCGGGGAGAUGACGGAGCGGCGAACGGGUGAGUAACACGUGGGCAACCUGCCCCUAGCUCUGGGACAACACCGGGAAACCGGUGCUAAUACCGGAUACGACAUCGAGCGGCAUCUCUCGAUGUGGAAAGUUUUUUCGGCUAGGGAUGGGCCCGCGGCCUAUCAGCUUGUUGGUGGGGUAAUGGCCCACCAAGGCGACGACGGGUAGCCGGCCUGGGAGGGCGACCGGCCACACUGGGACUGAGACACGGCCCAGACUCCUGCGGGAGGCAGCAGUGGGGAAUAUUGCGCAAUGGGCGAAAGCCGGACGCAGCGACGCCGCGUGAGGGAUGACGGCCUUCGGGUUGUAAACCUCUUUCAGCAGGGACGAAUUCAGACGGUACCUGCAGAAGAAGCACCGGCCAACUACGUG
rnacentral:rRNA from 1 species